rnacentral:rRNA from 1 species
AACGUAGGUGGCGAGCGUUAUCCGGAUUUAUUGGGCGUAAAGAGCGUGUAGGCGGCUAGAUAGGUCCGUUGUGAAAACUCGAGGCUCAACCUCGAGACGUCGAUGGAAACCAUCUGGCUAGAGUCCGGAAGAGGAGACUGGAAUUCCUGGUGUAGCGGUGAAAUGCGCAGAUAUCAGGAGGAACACCGGUGGCGAAGGCGGGUCUCUGGGCCGUAACUGACGCUGAGGAGCGAAAGCAUGGGGAGCGAACAGG